UAAGGAAUAUUGGUCAAUGGGGGCAACCCUGAACCAGCCAUGCCGCGUGCAGGAAGACGGCCCUACGGGUUGUAAACUGCUUUUAUACGGGAAUAAAUCACGCUACGUGUAGUGUGUUGAAUGUACUGUAAGAAUAAGGAUCGGCUAACUCC
rnacentral:rRNA from 1 species